rnacentral:rRNA from 1 species
UACGUACUGUGCGAACGUUAUUCGGAAUCACUGGGCUUAAAGGGUGCGUAGGCGGCUCGUUAAGUAGGGUGUGAAAUGCCAGAGCUCAACUUUGGCAUUGCGCUCUAGACUGUCGAGCUUGAGUGAGAUAGGGGUGUGCGGAACUUCCAGUGGAGCGGUGAAAUGUGUUGAUAUUGGAAGGAACGCCGGUGGCGAAAGCGGCACACUGGGUCUUAACUGACGCUGAGGCACGAAAGCCAGGGGAGCGAACGGG